GAUGAACGCUGGCGGCGUGCUUAACACAUGCAAGUCGAACGAUUAAACUGGCUUCGGCCAGAUAUAGAGUGGCGAACGGGUGAGUAACACGUGACCAACCUGCCCCGCGCUCCGGGACAACCGCUGGAAACGGCGGCUAAUACCGGAUGCUCCGGGGAGGCCCCAUGGCCUCCCCGGGAAAGCCUUAACGGCGCGGGAUGGGGUCGCGGCCCAUUAGGUAGACGGCGGGGUAACGGCCCACCGUGCCCGCGAUGGGUAGCCGGACUGAGAGGUCGACCGGCCACAUUGGGACUGAGAUAUGGCCCAGACUCCUACGGGAGGCAGCAGUGGGGAAUUUUGCGCAAUGGGGGAAACCCUGACGCAGCAACGCCGCGUGCGGGACGAAGGCCUUCGGGUUGUAAACCGCUUUCAGCAGGGAAGACUUUGACGGUAC
rnacentral:rRNA from 1 species